UGUGACGUUUCGAUCAUAGUUAUUUUUGACCAUUAUGAUAAUUGGCUUAUGAUAUAAAACAAAAUACAGAUAUGAAUAAUUGAUAGUUGGCAUAUGAGGUCUAACAAAGUAUUGACACGGAUGAUUGACGUGUGAUAUGUAAAAAUGAUGGCGAUGUUGAUGACAAUGUUGUUUUGAUGAGGACGUCCAUGGGUGUUACAAUGAUGAUGAAAUGACGUUCAUCAGCAGACGUAAAGCAGGAAAUGGCGGGAAGAAUCCUAGCAGACGACAGUUGUCGCGCAGAUGCAAUCAUGCACCAUAUCAGACUGCCCGAAAUUACAGGCUGGCCCAGCUCUAUACUGGACUCGCUUUUAGCAUGUUACAGUAGGGUUUGAAAAAGGAAAUCAUAACUUUGUAACGUAGCAGACGACAAUAAAUUUUAAAGUGGAAAUUUGCGACUUCCGGUGUGUCUGCUACUCGAUGUUAUGAUCUCAGUUACUUCCCCUGACGUUCAGUAUAUGAAAUGAGGGUGGAGUUUCAGGAUUUGAAAUUAAGAAAGAACGAAAGAUAUGAAAUGAGCACCGGCAAACUGAUCUUGGCAUGUCACAUCCUUAUCACAGAACUGGAACCUACUGAUUAUGAUGAGAAAUACGGAACAUGGUAAAUUGAGCAGGUGAAGGAAUGAAGAAAACACCACCCUCUUGACAGUCAGCAAAAUAACUAUGCUUUGUUACGGUUUGGAACUACUGCAUGCCGUUACAACUUAAUAUGUGACAAAGAGAUUUUAAUCCACCUGAUACGAUUUGGUAUCUUUCUGAAAAUGUCAUGUUCAACUUCUGAA